GAUGAACGCUGGCGGCGUGCCUAAUACAUGCAAGUCGAGCGAACGGACGAGAAGCUUGCUUCUCUGAUGUUAGCGGCGGACGGGUGAGUAACACGUGGAUAACCUACCUAUAAGACUGGGAUAACUUCGGGAAACCGGAGCUAGUACCGGAUAAUAUUUUGAACCGCAUGGUUCAAAAGUGAAAGACGGUCUUGCUGUCACUUAUAGAUGGAUCCGCGCUGCAUUAGCUAGUUGGUAAGGUAACGGCUUACCAAGGCAACGAUGCAUAGCCGACCUGAGAGGGUGAUCGGCCACACUGGAACUGAGACACGGUCCAGACUCCUACGGGAGGCAGCAGUAGGGAAUCUUCCGUAAUGGGCGAAAGCCUGACGGAGCAACGCCGCGUGAGUGAUGAAGGUCUUCGGAUCGUAAAACUCUGUUAUUAGGGAAGAACAUAUGUGUAAGUAACUGUGCACAUCUUGACGGUACCUAAUCAGAAAGCCACGGCUAACUACGUG
rnacentral:rRNA from 1 species